rnacentral:snRNA from 1 species
AUACUUACCUGGCAGGAGAGAUACUAUGAUCAUGAAGGUGGUUUUCCCAGGGCGAGACUUAUCCAUUGCACUCCGGAUGUGCUGACCCCUGCGAUUUCCCCAAAUGUGGGAAACUUCUACUGCAUAAUUUUUGGUAGUGGGGGACUACAUUCGCACUCUCCCA